CGAUGGCGUAUUUUCAUGUGAACGUUCGUGAAGGCGGGGUACGCGUAUUUGAGUCGAUUUUAGUCGACUUGAUUUCCUGGAAAGGGGGGAAAUUACUGAAAAUGGUGGCUGCUUACGUAGGAGACGGACGAGACACAGAUAGACACAUCAUUAUUCAUAAAAAUUUUAUAAACUACCCAUUAUUUAUUCUAUUAUCAACUCCAGCCUCGGUCUUACCUCGGAUAAGUAUUUUCGAGGAACCAAAAGAAGUGAAAUGACGAUCAAAUAUCUGGGAAAUACAGAGUGCACUGAUUUGUACUACUGGAGUGAUAAAUCGAGUUAUGAAUCAGGAUGGCGAAAAUCAUCGGGAUUUGUCAAGUCGACGAUAAUUUUUGUCGUCAAGAAAUCCAGAGUACAUGCAAUUUGAGAGUAUUCACGCUUCCUGGGGAUUUGAGGACUGGCCAUUCGAAUUAGGUGAGCACAUAAUCGAGGGUUUGUCACACCUCCAUUUUAACAUCCGAUCAUUCUAAGAAGAUAAUUGAAAGUGAGUAAUAUUGUUGCGGUGAUUGAGUUGAUUAAAAAUAUAAUGAAAGAAGAGGAAGACGUACGCCGACGACGGGGUGUCCAAGAGCAGUCACUGGAGCUUCUUGUCAGGGAUUUUUCAAAGGUUCAAGCACGGUUGGGGGAUGAUUCUCCAGGGAGAAUCAUGUCAUAAUCCAGAUUAUGAGUUCAUUAGUGUUUUUUAUUCUGGAUAAUGGAGUUAACAUUUUUAGAUGCUGUGAGGUUUAGGUUCCUGUUGAGUUGAGAUUUUAGGUGUCCCAGUGAAGAAUUUCAUUGGAAAUAUUCUGAGGGUGCGGUGAUGGAUUUUUCAAAGUAGAUGGCUUUGGUAAAUAAUCUACGGGGAAAUUGAGAGGAGAAAAUUUUUAUUCGUCAAUGAGAUACGAGCCAUUUGAUGGAUAGGCUUCGUGGAAUAUUCAGUUUGGAAUUGAGAAAAUCAAAGACGUUAUACUCACGACCAUGAGAUCAACCACAUUUUUUAUGAAAUAAAUCAUUUCAGGGUGUUGUGUAGGUCAUUCAUCCCCUACCCUAUGUCUCAUUUAUGAGAAACAGAAUAUGACGUUCGGCUGAACGAAGGAACGAUAAAUGACAAUUUCAGGUGCAGAUGGGGAAGGCGAUUUGUCUCCCCGAAGGCUUCAUCUUCGUCGAUGAUUGUUUAAACAUUGAAUUAAUUCUUCGAAUCCGAAAAAAAAUGACACUUUCUCAUUUUCGUUUUCAUCUCCAUUGGUCACCGAGUUGAAGGGAAUUGUUAUAAAAAAUAUAUGACAUUCUGGGUGGGACGAUCAAUGAUCGACAAUUGUUUUUGUAUUUUUUACUGAUUUAUUCAAGCACUCAAAAAUUACACCAAGAAACUAGUAAUAAUGAUCUUAAAACUAAAAGGGAUAUUUAACACAGGUUCAAUAUUAAUUGUUUGUAUUUUUUUUUAUUCACAGUUUAUUGGUUUUUUACGCUGCUUUCUUAAUUUUAUCAAUUACCAACACGAAGAUCUAUUCCCUAAACCCUUAAACCAUUUUAUGAUGAGCCUAGAAAGGAUAAUUCCACAAUUUAUCAUGUUUAUGCAAAAUUCUUUUUAUUACUCCGCCAU